AAAUUGAAGAGUUUGAUCAUGGCUCAGAUUGAACGCUGGCGGCAGGCCUAACACAUGCAAGUCGAACGGUAACAGGAAACAGCUUGCUGUUUUGCUGACGAGUGGCGGACGGGUGAGUAAUGUCUGGGAAACUGCCUGAUGGAGGGGGAUAACUACUGGAAACGGUAGCUAAUACCGCAUAACGUCGCAAGACCAAAGAGGGGGACCUUCGGGCCUCUUGCCAUCGGAUGUGCCCAGAUGGGAUUAGCUAGUAGGUGGGGUAACGGCUCACCUAGGCGACGAUCCCUAGCUGGUCUGAGAGGAUGACCAGCCACACUGGAACUGAGACACGGUCCAGACUCCUACGGGAGGCAGCAGUGGGGAAUAUUGCACAAUGGGCGCAAGCCUGAUGCAGCCAUGCCGCGUGUAUGAAGAAGGCCUU
rnacentral:rRNA from 1 species